UUAACUGAAAAAUAUUUCGUGCUUCAGCUAUAAUCGGGGGUUACACUUGAAAAUCACGGACAUUUAAUGUUACAAUAUGGCGGAUUAAGCUUAAAAUUUUCAAAAUUUAACGUAAAAACAUGCAGUUUACCGAUUACUGAUUUUCAAGAUGUAUUUUUUAAAACUCCAAUUGACAUGUCUGGCAAUGAUUGUGCCUAGGAGCUUAUCUUUACAUCUAAAUCUCAACGUGAACGUUUACAGUGGAACUGUUCUGAUACCUGGGAUACAAAGGCUGUGGAAAUUCGGGAUAGUUGUUUGAAGGUCAAAGAGAGGAUAUUUUUGCCACGUGGAUUGUAACAGACAGUAAAUGAGCGCCAAAUGAAAUUGCUUAGCUGGACAAUUUUUGACAAGAGGAGAUGUGCAUUCAUUUUAAAUUGUUUGUGGCUGACACUGAACUUGUUUACUGAUGGCUUUUUUACUACGUCAAAACAUAAGUUAUGAACUGUAGUUGAUUUCUAGACAAACGUAAAUGGAUUCUGACAACUAAUUAAUAUCACUGGAUGGGUCAAUGGAGGCUGAGCUAUGGAAUAUGUCACUGGUUAGGAUCGCGGGUCAUGGGGAACACACUCUGUUUAAUCGAUGGUGGAUUUCCCAAGAUCCGUGAUCGUUGCCAGCGAAAAAGCGACACAUACAUGGACAAAUAUAUGGAUAUAAACGGACUCUUUUUUUUUUUUUUUUUUUUUUUUGCUUUCUUGCUAAAUGUUAUGAACAUGUAAGUUAUAAAGGUGUAUUUGUUAAAACUGCUAAAUCGUAUAUGAGACACAAAAGUACCUUGCGAAACUCCUGAACAAAUCUUUAACGUUGAACGUUUAAAAGGAGUUACUUUUAGUACAGUUUAAAACUUUGUGUCACUAUAUAUAUAACUUACAUAUCUAAAAGGUAAUGUAUAAUUGUAAUAUGUAUGAUUCAUUUGAAAAGAGAGAAUAAAAAUAAAA